CCUACGGGUGGCUGCAGUGGGGAAUAUUGGACAAUGGGGGGAACCCUGAUCCAGCCAUGCCGCGUGUGUGAAGAAGGCCCUCGGGUUGUAAAGCACUUUCAGUGAGGAAGAACGCCUGGUGGUUAAUACCCAUCAGGAAAGACAUCACUCACAGAAGAAGCACCGGCUAACUCCGUGCCAGCAGCCGCGGUAAUACGGAGGGUGCGAGCGUUAAUCGGAAUUACUGGGCGUAAAGCGCGCGUAGGUGGCUUGAUAAGCCGGUUGUGAAAGCCCCGGGCUCAACCUGGGAACGGCAUCCGGAACUGUCAAGCUAGAGUGCAGGAGAGGAAGGUAGAAUUCCUGGUGUAGCGGUGAAAUGCGUAGAGAUCGGGAGGAAUACCAGUGGCGAAGGCGGCCUUCUGGACUGACACUGACACUGAGGUGCGAAAGCGUGGGUAGCAAACAGGAUUAGAUACCCGUGUAGUC
rnacentral:rRNA from 1 species